CCUACGGGGGGCAGCAGUAGGGAAUCUUUCACAAUGGGCGAAAGCCUGAUGGAGCAACGCCGCGUGCAGGAUGAAGGCCUUCGGGUUGUAAACUGCUUUUAUAAGCGAGAAAUAUGAUGGUAACUUAUGAAUAAGGAUCGGCUAACUACGUGCCAGCAGCCGCGGUCAUACGUAGGAUCCGAGCAUUAUCCGGAGUGACUGGGUGUAAAGAGUUGCGUAGGUGGCAUAAUAAGUAGCUAGUGAAAUCUGGUGGCUCAACCAUUCAGACUAUUAGCUAAACUGUUAAGCUCGAGACCGUUAGGGGUAACUGGAAUUUCUGGUGUAGGAGUGAAAUCCGUAGAUAUUAGAAGGAACACCAAUAGCGUAGGCAGGUUGCUGGGACGGUUCUGACACUAAGGCACGAAAGCGUAGGGAGCAAACGGGAUUAGAUACCCCUGUAGUC
rnacentral:rRNA from 1 species